AUUGAACGCUGGCGGCAGGCCUAACACAUGCAAGUCGAGCGGAUGAAGGGAGCUUGCUCCUGGAUUCAGCGGCGGACGGGUGAGUAAUGCCUAGGAAUCUGCCUGGUAGUGGGGGAUAACGUCCGGAAACGGGCGCUAAUACCGCAUACGUCCUGAGGGAGAAAGUGGGGGAUCUUCGGACCUCACGCUAUCAGAUGAGCCUAGGUCGGAUUAGCUAGUUGGUGGGGUAAAGGCCUACCAAGGCGACGAUCCGUAACUGGUCUGAGAGGAUGAUCAGUCACACGGGACAUGAGCACGGGCCCGACUCCCACGGGAGGACAGCGGGGGGAAAUUUGGGAAAAUGGCGGAAGCCCUGCUCCCCCCGUGCCGGGUGUGGAAGGAAGGUUUUCGAAUUGUAAACCAUUUUAAGGUGGGAGGAGGGGUAGUAAGUAAAUACCUUGCUUUUUGUGCGUACCAAAAAAAAAAGACACCGACAAGCUUGGUC
rnacentral:rRNA from 1 species